CGGGACGGGUGAGUAAUGUCUGGGAAACUGCCUGAUGGAGGGGGAUAACUACUGGAAACGGUAGCUAAUACCGCAUAACGUCGCAAGACCAAAGAGGGGACCUUCGGGCCUCUUGCCAUCGGAUGUGCCCAGAUGGGAUUAGCUAGUAGGUGGGGUAAGGCUCACCUAGGCGACGAUCCCUAGCUGGUCUGAGAGGAUGACCAGCCACACUGGAACUGAGACACGGUCCAG
rnacentral:rRNA from 1 species